UGAAAUAUUACUAAUAAUUUUUAAUUAAAAAAAAUUAUUUAUAAAAUGUGUUUGUUUACACUUAUAUUUAGAUGAAAAAAAGUCACCUGUUAACCAGGAGAGGUCUAUGUAGAUCCUAAGCUCCAUAAAACCUAUAACUCAUGAAGUGCCGAACAAAAUCAAAAAUUUGCACAUAUAUACUUUACCUAAAAAUAUUAAGCUACUUAAAGAUCCGGACAAAAAUAUUUAAAUAAUUUUAAGUAAUAACGUUUUUAAUAUGGCUGGGUUCUGCAUAGUUCCACCUGUGCUAUAAAGGGCUAAAGGAGAAAAAAUACAUUUCCAUUCUUAUAUAGUUUUGAAAUAUGGCCAUACAAAGGAUCGGGAUGAUAGAAGUUUAUAGACAAUGGAGAUGAAAAUGCUGAGAAUGCAGUAGUAUUAAAAAAGGACAAGUAUGCCAAUAUACUAGGAAGUUAAAAGGUAGUACCUAUUGAAAGAAAGAUCACGGUGAACAGACUUAGAUGGUAUGGACAUACGAUGAGAAGGCAUAGAAGCUAUAUAGGAAAAAAGUGAGUCUAGAAGUCAUGGGUAAAGAGAGUAAACUCCAAUGGGCCCACAAUGUUCAAUAUAACGAAAUAUAAAUUGAAUUAGAUGGAUAGUAUGAAUAAUAUAAAAUGGAAGGGGAUAUCAAAGGAGCUCACCACCCGAAAAGGUGAAAGCUAAAAUAUAAUAAUUAUGGAUUAUAAAAUAUAAAAGUUUUUACAAAGACGGCCUAAUUUAAAAAAAAACUAACAUAUUCCAUAUAUCUUUAUUUUUUUGGAAAAUAUUUUACAUUUUUUCCAAGUGAUGUGUGUUAAUAUCAUUCAUGACUGUCGAGUUAUUGGUUAAAACAUUUUUCAUUAUAUAGGCUACCUUCCAAUAGAAAGUUUAUGUCAAAAUUUAUAAUGUGGGGAAAAUUUUUUAAAUUGCGGGUGAUUUGAGGUAGAGAGUCCUGUCUCUUGUUGAUGAGGAGAAGGGCUUACAUCAAUCGAAUAUCAUGGUAUAUAUAAUUUAUAUUAUUUUUUAAUUUCCCUUUUAGGACAUAAAACCUUUCGUGAACGAGUCUUCGGAAUUGUCAACAUUUCAAGCCCUAUAAUAGAUGCUAAACCUUAUUCACUACAAUAUUAUGGAUCGAAUAUAUUGUAAGGAAGAAUAAAAUUCACCAUUAAGGAUAUUAUUUUAUAUGAAUUAAUCUUGGGGUUAUUAUCAUGUCGAUAUCAUUUAUAUUUUUAAAGCUUUUACCUUAAAUUUAUAUUCCUU